rnacentral:rRNA from 1 species
CUAGAUUAGAGUUUGAUCCUGGCUCAGAACGAACGCUGGCGGCGUGGAUAAGACAUGCAAGUCGAACGGGACCAAGUCUGUAGUAAUACAAACUUGGUUCAGUGGCGCACGGGUGCGUAACACGUGAGCAAUCUGCCGGGAAGUGGGGGAUAGCUCGCCGAAAGGCGAAUUAAUACCGCAUGUGGCCAUUCUUCGAGUGGAGGAAAAGCCAAAGCAGCAAUGCGCUUCCUGAUGAGCUCGCGGCCUAUCAGCUCGAUGGCGGGGUAAUGGCCCACCAUGGCUUUGACGGGUAGCUGGUCUGAGAGGACGACCAGCCACACUGGAACUGAGACACGGUCCAGACACCUACGGGUGGCAGCAGUCGAGAAUUUUUCACAAUGGGGGAAACCCUGAUGGAGCGACGCCGCGUGGAGGAUGAAGGCCUUCGGGUUGUAAACUCCUGUCAUGCGGGAACAAGCAAGUGAUAGUACCGCAAGAGGAAGAGACGGCUAACUCUGUGCCAGCAGCCGCGGUAAUACAGAGGUCUCAAGCGUUGUUCGGAUUCAUUGGGCGUAAAGGGUGCGUAGGUGGUGAUGCAAGUCUGGUGUGAAAUCUCGGAGCUCAACUCCGAAAUUGCACCGGAUACUGCGUGACUCGAGGACUGUAGAGGAGAUCGGAAUUCACGGUGUAGCAGUGAAAUGCGUAGAUAUCGUGAGGAAGACCAGUUGCGAAGGCGGAUCUCUGGGCAGUUCCUGACACUGAGGCACGAAAGCCAGGGGAGCAAACGGGAUUAGAUACCCCGGUAGUCCUGGCAGUAAACGGUGCACGUUUGGUGUGGGCGGGUUCAGACCCCGUCCGUGCCGGAGCUAACGCGUUAAACGUGCCGCCUGGGAAGUACGGUCGCAAGAUUAAAACUCAAAGAAAUUGACUGGGGCCCGCACAAGCGGUGGAGUAUGUGGCUUAAUUCGAUGC